rnacentral:rRNA from 1 species
UCAAAUGAGAGUUUGAUCCUGGCUCAGGACGAACGCUGGCGGCGUGCCUAAUACAUGCAAGUCGAACGAGAGCGACCGGUGCUUGCACUGGUCAAUCUAGUGGCGAACGGGUGAGUAACACGUGGGUAACCUGCCCUCUUCUUUGGGAUAACGCCCGGAAACGGGUGCUAAUACUGGAUAUUCACUGGCCUUCGCAUGGGGGUUGGUGGAAAGGUUUGUUCUGGUGGGGGAUGGGCUCGCGGCCUAUCAGCUUGUUGGUGGGGUGAUGGCCUACCAAGGCUUUGACGGGUAGCCGGCCUGAGAGGGUGACCGGUCACAUUGGGACUGAGAUACGGCCCAGACUCCUACGGGAGGCAGCAGUGGGG